GAUUGAACGCUGGCGGCAUGCCUUACACAUGCAAGUCGAGCGCGAAAGGGGGCAACCCCGAGUAGAGCGGCGGACGGGUGAGUAACACAUCGGAACGUGCCCAGUAGUGGGGGACAACCUCGAGAAAUCGAGGCUAAUACCGCAUACGACCCACGGGUGAAAGCGGGGGACCGCAAGGCCUCGCGCUAUUGGAGCGGCCGAUGUCCGAUUAGCUAGUUGGCGGGGUAAGAGCCCACCAAGGCGACGAUCGGUAGCUGGUCUGAGAGGACGACCAGCCACACUGGGACUGAGACACGGCCCAGACUCCUACGGGAGGCAGCAGUGGGGAAUUUUGGACAAUGGGGGCAACCCUGAUCCAGCCAUGCCGCGUGCGGGAAGAAGGCCUU
rnacentral:rRNA from 1 species